AUCAAGCAUCAUAUCAAGUUUGCAAGCUGAGGGUCAUGGUGUUGCUAUAGUGAAAACCAUUUAAGUUGGACAUACCCUUGAUCAUAUUGGUGCUAUCUAAAAGGAGCCACACAAUAUUUUUCUUAAGGUUGGCGAGGGCAUAAAUGAUGCACCAUCCUUGACACUUGCUGAUGUUGGGGUUGCUUUACAAUUGAAGCUAAAGAGAAUGCUGCAUCUGUCAAUUGUUUUUGGCUAACAGGCUCGAACAGAUUCCAUAUAACUUGGAGAAUACCUGGUUUGAAUAGUUGUUGUCUGGUCCUUUGUUGCAUAAUCUAAUGGCCUUGAAGAUGAAGAGUGAAAUUCUUCUUCUUUUCUCAGUGCCUAGUAGCCCAAUGGCCGGGACCCGAAGCCGCCUCAAACCCCCAUGAACAGCCCCAAAAGUCCAAAGCUAGGGGCGUCGGCGUCGGCGGGAGAAGCGGGAGGGGACGGUUAGCCCCACCGGCGAAGGGGCAUUGCCGGCCCGCGAGUAGGAGGGGAGUACGAGGAGGAGCAGGCCCUUCCCCACGUCGUAUGCCUCCGAUCUACCGAUGUUCAGCUCGUUACAUGCCUGGAUUUUGUUAUUGUUUGGGUAAGUUUGUGGGCAGGUGAGAUUGGGAUGGAGCGAGUCCCAGAUGAUUGCUGGGCAAGGGACGUGGGUAUCUCCCCAUCCAUCAUCGGUUCUUUUCAUCGCAGAGAGGCGGCGCUCAUGAAGGCUGCAGGAGAAAGGAAGCAAGGGAUUCCUCUUAUCAGGCAACAGGGAAGAGACAGCUGCAAGUGUUCGCAAGAUAGUUGGAAUUGGACAUCAAAAAAAUAAAAGCAUCCUUAACUCAAAAGCAGAAAUCAAGUAUCAUAACAAGUUUGCAAGCUAAAGAUCACGGUGUUGCUAUGUGAACCAUUUUUAAGUUAGAAAUACCCUUGAUCAUAUUGGUACCAUCUAAUAUUUGCCAUACAAUAUUCUUCUUAAGGUUGGCAAUGGCAUAGAUGAUGCACCAUCCUCGGCACUCGUUGAUGCUGGAGUUGCUUUAUAAAUUGAAGCAAAGGAGAAUGCUGCAUCUGUCAUUCAUUUUGGGUAUGCAAAAGGCUUGAACAUUUUCUGUAAGCAGCCUAGUUUGGAAAAUAUCUGGUUUGAGUAGAUAUUGCCUGUUCCUUUGUUGCAUAAUCUAAUCGCCUUGAAGAUGAAGAGUGAUACUGUUCUUCUUUUGUCAGUGCUUAGUGAGUGAACUGAAGCUUGUAUGAAAUUUUGUCAUUUUCGCCUCAUGUUUUGACACAAGUAACCACCUAUUCUUGUAAGAAAUUUUACCUAUUUUCUUUUGCAUGCAAAAGUUUGGGAAGAAUUUAUUGCUUCAA